AUUGAACGCUGGCGGCAGGCCUAACACAUGCAAGUCGAACGAGUGGCGGACGGGUGAGUAAUGUCUGGGAAACUGCCUGAUGGAGGGGGAUAACUACUGGAAACGGUAGCUAAUACCGCAUACCAUCAGAUGUGCCCAGAUGGGAUUAGCUUGUUGGUGGGGUAAAGGCUCACCAAAGCGACGAUCCCUAGCUGGUUUGAGAGGAGAACCACCCCCACUGGAACUGGGACACGGUCCAGAGUCCUCCCUGAACCAACAAUUUAUAAUAUUGCACAGUUGGCGAAAGCCUGAUACAGCCAUGCCGCGUGUAUGAAGAAAACCUUCGGGUUUUAAAGUACUUUCAGCGGGGAGGCGUUACCCGCAGAAGAAGCACCGGCUAACUCCGUGCCAGCCGCCGCGGUAAUAC
rnacentral:rRNA from 1 species